UAUGUAAUAAGUAUCACUCAAACCCUAAACGUUUUCGAUACAUUGAGGAUAAAAUUCUACACACAGCUUGCUCAGCAACCAUUUUAGGUCCAUCUCUCAGCCCCCCAUCCUCCUCCACAGGGAAAUAAAGGUGUGACACACCAGCCUCCAAACCACCAUCCAUCCUCAUGGCAGCUGUCAAAAAGCAGCUUGUCUUGAGAGGCAAAAGGCCAAACGGACUUUACUGGAAAUUGACCACCCGGCCAACUGUCCCACCACCACAGACAGCUGGGAAUGAUCUCAACAUCCAAGGUGGCCAUAUUGUUACUGCCAGAGCGAGUGCCAGAGUCAGCGGAGGAGGAGGAAGGGUGCCUGGUACAAGACCAGCUGAGGCCAGCGAAGAACCUCAAGGGGGAUUGAUAGUAGCACUUCCACGGAGGUGCAGCACAGAAAAGUAGCCACCACGCCCCCCUCUGCAGCGAUAAAACAACCCCUGGCUGCAGUACAGAGGAGAUACGUCAACCAACAGAGUGGCCACCAGCCGCCUCAACUUCCUCCAGCUGCUGCAUGGCAAUAUCACCCCCUACUGGUCACUGCUGGAGUGACACACUGUCAACACACGAAGAUCACCCACCAUCUGCUGAUUUCAGUCCAAUUAUUUCCCUGGUAAAAAUUGAAAUGAAUAACUGGAAGGGUUGAUUGUACCUUUGGGGGCACGUGACCAGAGCAAAGUUAUGCAUGGCAUGGAUAACAUCACCAUGAUGUUGUGUACAAUAAAAAAAACAAAUCCUCUCCCUUAAUCGCAUUGUUGUUUUAUGCAGACUUUAUUUUCUUCAAUCAGUCAUGAUUUUAAUGAACAGUCAUUUAAUUAUUGAAUA